rnacentral:rRNA from 1 species
UACAGAGGUCUCAAGCGUUGUUCGGAUUCAUUGGGCGUAAAGGGUGCGUAGGCGGCGCGGUAAGUCGGGUGUGAAAUCUCGGGGCUUAACUCCGAAACUGCAUUCGAUACUGCCGUGCUUGAGGACUGGAGAGGAGACUGGAAUUUACGGUGUAGCGGUGAAAUGCGUAGAUAUCGUAAGGAACACCUGCGGCGAAGGCGGGUAGCUGGGCCGACACUGACGCUGAGGCGCGAAAGCCAGGGGAGCGAACGGG